GAAUAUUGGACAAUGGGGGGAACCCUGAUCCAGCCAUGCCGCGUGUGUGAAGAAGGCCUUUUGGUUGUAAAGCACUUUAAGCGAGGAGGAGGAGCUCUUGGUUAAUACCCAAGAUGCUUGGACGUUACUCGCAGAAUAAGCACCGGCUAACUCUGUGCCCGCAGCCGCGGUAAUCCCGAGGGUGCAAGCGUUAAUCGGACUGACGGGGCGUAAGCGGGGGGUAGUGGGCAAAUGAAGUAAAAUGGGAAACCCCCGGGCUUAACUUGGGAAUGGCAUUGGAUACUGGUUGGCUAGAGUAGGGGAGAGGAUGGUAGAAUUCCAGGUGUAGCGGGGAAAUGCGUAGAGAUCUGGAGGAAUACCGAUGGCGAAGGCAGCCAUCUGGCCUAAUACUGACACUGAGGUGCGAAGGCAUGGGGAGAAAAC
rnacentral:rRNA from 1 species